ensembl:lncRNA
GGAAAGGUUUUGUGUGGCUUCCUUAAAUUGACAUCUCUCUUUUUGGGGACUUACAUUUGGCACACUUGGUUUUCCUGGUUGAAAGGGGUACUCUUUUGAAGGAUCCAGCUUGAAGGAGUAUUUUUGAUCAAUGACAUUGAGUUGCAGCCCACUGAAGAAAAUAAAGUCCAACCCCAAGACUACAGCAUAAGCUAGAGCUUGGGAUGAAAGUACAGCAGUAGAUAAAGAGGACCACGGCACCACGGUUGCAGCUGGUCGGGGGAUGUAAGCUGCCUCAUGAGAUUCUCAUGGAUGAGUGUGUAGCUUGCACCAGUGUCCACAAUGGCUUUACCUGACCAGGCAUCGAUACAAAGGGGAACAACUAGUUGUUGAGCAACAGAGUUGUUGGAUGGAUGACCACCUGACUUGGGGUGAUAAAGUUGUUUGCUGCUGGUGG